rnacentral:lncRNA from 1 species
GCAUUUUGUCACAUCAGCCCAGGACGAGAGCAGCCAACUAAAGAGCUUCUCGAUGUUGCAUUGUAAAAGAUAAGAAAAGAAUCCCAUUGAAUGGCUAGCAAGCAGAAGCAUGCAUGUCAGCUCCUUCUGGAAUGGAAUGGCAGCCCUGCCCCCCAACUUCACAGGUCACCUUGGGCGAUUGAAAAGGAAAGCAUUCUUAUGCAUCCAGAUUCAUUUAUUUUUUGGCUUGAAUUUGUAGCAGAGAAAAAGCACCAAUUCCCCACUGUUUCCUGUUCGUAGCAGGUCCAGCUGCCUGCGGGUGGUCUGUACGGUUAUGAGAGCAGAGCUUCAUGUGAGAAAGAGGUUGCCCAUGGUCUUCCAACCUCGGAUUCAUCAGUUAGGAUUGCUAAAAUCUGGCACAAACUCUAGGGAGAGAUUAUAAUUUGAAAAACUCUUCCCUUUAAUUAAUGAUUGUGUUUCAAUCUUAGUAUAACUCUCCCUUGUUUAAAGCUACCCUUGCAUUUAUGUACUGAUUUUUAACAUUGAUUUUGUUGUGGCAUUGUCUUAAGAUAACAUUUCUACAAAGAAAAGGCAAUGAUAUUUAUUGAUGUUUGUUUCAAGUAAAGCACAAUGGCUUUGUUUGAAUGGAUAGUUUGGUAUCUUUAUAAAUUUUUUAAAAUUUAUUUAUUCAUGAGAGACACAGAGAGACAUAAGCAGGGGAAGAAGCAGGGCCCCAAGGGGAGCCCAAUGCAGGACUCGGUCCCAGGACCCCGGCAUCAUGACCUGAGCCAAAGGCAAACAGUCAACCACUGAGCCACCCAGGUGCCCGAUAGUUGGGUAUCUUAAAGUUUAUCAAAAACGGAAAUGAAAGGGUCAUCAUUGCAACUUAAAACAAAAACAAAAAAUUUC